rnacentral:lncRNA from 1 species
AAUUCUAAACCCUAUACCCUAAAUUUUAAACCCAAAUCCAAACCCCUAAACCCAAACCCUAUACCCUAAACCCUAAUCCUAGACCCUAAACUCAAAUUAUAUACUCUGAACCCAAAAACUAGACUAUAAACCUAAACUCUAUACCAUAAACCCAAGUCCUAGACCCUAAACCCAAACCGUAAACCUUAAACCCAAAUUAUAUAUCCUAAACCAAAAAAAAAUAACUAUAAGUCCAAACGGUAAAUCCUAAACCCAAACCGUAAAUCCUAAACCCAAAAUCUAUACCC